AUGAGAGGUCCAGCCUGCCCAGUGACAAUGUUCAACGGCCGCGGUAUCCUAACCGUGCGAAGGUAGCGUAAUCACUUGUCCUUUAAAUGGGGACUAGUAUGAAUGGCAUCACGAGGGUUAUACUGUCUCCUUCUUCCAAUCAGUGAAACUAAUCUUCCCGUGAAGAAGCGGGAAUACACCUAUAAGACGAGAAGACCCUAUGGAGCUUUAAACGAAACAACACUUGCUAUAACAUACAUUAAUCUCAGGAAAUCAACCUUUAUCUUAGCACUAUAACUGUUAGUUUUAGGUUGGGGUGACCGCGGAGUAAAAAAUAACCUCCACAGUGAAUGGGGACCUCCCCUAAGCAAAAAGCCACAACUUUAUGCAUCAACAAAUUGACAUCAAUUGACCCAAUAUUUUGAUCAACGAAACAAGUUACCCUAGGGAUAACAGCGCAAUCCACUUCGAGAGCCCAUAUCGACAAGUGGGUUUACGACCUCGAUGUUGGAUCAGGG
rnacentral:rRNA from 1 species